CGCGUCCGCCCCCCCCCCC
rnacentral:rRNA from 3 species